rnacentral:rRNA from 1 species
AACGAACGCUGGCGGCGUGCCUAACACAUGCAAGUCGAACGGAGUGAAGGAGCUUGCUCUUUCAUUUAGUGGCGCACGGGUGAGUAACGCGUAGAUAAUCUGCCUUAGACUCUGGGAUAACAUCUCGAAAGGGGUGCUAAUACCUGAUAAGCCCACGAUGGCGAAAGUCGUUGCGGGAAAAGGGGGCCUCUGAAUAUGCUCUUGAUCUAAGAUGAGUCUGCGUACCAUUAGCUAGUUGGUAGGGUAAGAGCCUACCAAGGCUACGAUGGUUAGCUGGUCUGAGAGGAUGAUCAGCCACACUGGAACUGAGACACGGUCCAGACUCCUACGGGAGGCAGCAGUGGGGAAUUUUGCGCAAUGGGGGAAACCCUGACGCAGCAACGCCGCGUGAGUGAUGAAGGCUUUCGGGUCGUAAAGCUCUGUCUAGAGGGAAGAAAUGAUAUUUGGUUAAUACCCAGAUUUCUUGACGGUACCUCUGAAGGAAGCACCGG